CCGCGCGCAGGACGGCGACGCCGCCAUGAGGGGCUUGGUCUGAGGGGCCUCGUCGAGGAAGAGGCGGCCUAGGGGCCGCGCUGAGGGCGGGGAGCGGCCGUGCCCGGGGCAGAGGCGGCGGCUGCGCGGCGCUCACGGCCACGGAGGGUCCUGCGGCGGCCCCGCUGAGCCCCGGGCCUGGCCACAGAGGCCACAGGCCGGCUGCGCGACCCCCUCGCACGGGGACGCCCACGCCAGAGGCGCCGUGUCCGCGACGCCCCGGGGCGCGGCCUCCAAAGAGAAGUUUUAGGUUCACAGUGAAGUUAGGAGGAGGGUGCAGAGAUUUCCCGCAAGCCCCCCAGCCCCACACGCACAGAGCCUCGGCCGCCAGAGCUUGGCGCUUGUCAGAGAUGACGGACCCACACCAACCCGUCAUGAUCACGCGAAGGGCAAUUUUCCUGAACCGCGGCAGCUUAUCUAGUUUUUCGAUGGCUGCCCCGGACACCAACACCGACGUGUGUUCAUGAAUAAUGGAAGAGGAAACUCCGCACGCUGAGCAGCAAUCGGCCCCUCGUCAGAUUCUCACGCCCUUCCCAGGCUCCGGAGAGGUCAUCUGCAUUUGGACUGUGGCCUCGGGGAAAGGUGACACAGUAGCGCGGUCAGGGACAGGAUGGGACCGCCCGGCAGGUGGCUCCUCUCCUGACCUGGCGGGAGAGCCCGGAGGAGCACGGGGCUGGCUCGGUGUGACUUCCACGCGGCUCCACGGAGGUCUCCCAGCCUCGGGGUUCGAAAGGUCGCUGUCUGCGGGGUGGGGCGCCUCGCGUAACAGGCCUGGAGGCGUGUUCUCACCGACGCCACGGGGACACCUUGUGACUCUGCCUCUUGGGGAUGGGACAAGGCAGGAGAAGCAGCCCGCUGCCAGUGGAGCGAGAGCUUCCAGCCCCGCCGGCCUGACGUGGACGCGGGAGAACACGGUGGUGGUGACGGUGCUGUGACGGAGCUCAGGGAAUGGCCGCGGAGGAGACUGAGUCGGUGAGGAGGACGGGAUUCUGGCCCCAGCCCGGAGCCCUAGGGACCUCCUGAGGCCACGCGGGUGGCGGGGCCAGCUGGCCACCGGCCUGGGGGUACGGGCGCUGCCCCACUGAAGACCCCGGGAUCAGAGGUACCGGCUGCAGGGCUCCCGGUCAGGGCAGGACCCGCAUCCGUGAGCUGCUGACCUGGACCCAUGCGGGGCCAGAGCCUGUCGGGCAGACGGGGACACCCACCUCUGCUGGGGUCCUGCGGUCAGACACUGGGGGCCGUGUUUGGACGCCCUGGUACAUGUGGGGGGUUCGGGAGUCCCACCUGGACCCGGGGAAGUGCCAUCGCUGGUCUGGGGGCCACAUGGGCUUGGUUUGGCCGUAUUGAGUGAGUGCCUUCUGUGAGCCAGAGGUGGGGAAAGACACGGGCCGUGUAAUUACAAAAGA